rnacentral:sRNA from 1 species
UACGAUAGUCACUUCUCAUUAAGUUCGA